rnacentral:rRNA from 1 species
AUGGCCUACGGGACGCAGCAGUGGGGAAUAUUGCACAAUGGGGGAAACCCUGAUGCAGCGACGCCGCGUGGGUGAAGAAGCGCCUCGGCGCGUAAAGCCCUGUCAGCAGGGAAGAAAAUGACGGUACCUGAAGAAGAAGCCCCGGCUAACUACGUGCCAGCAGCCGCGGUAAUACGUAGGGGGCAAGCGUUAUCCGGAUUUACUGGGUGUAAAGGGAGCGCAGGCGGCACGGCAAGCCUGAUGUGAAAGCGCGCGGCCCAACCGCGGGACUGCAUUGGGGACUACCGGGCGGGAGUGCAGGAGAG